CUCAACGGUACCCUGUGAGACCUGGUGACUGUGGAGAGUACUGCAGAGUUUAAGAACACAAAGCUGUGAACUACUGGACCCUAAUGUCCACUGGAACUAUGCCUAAUUCCCAAUUUCUGCACAUCUUUUCAAUUGACCCCGUCAUGACUAUGAUCGAUAAAGACAUGACGACGCACUUUUGCUUUGCAAAUCAGCUUUGGUUCAUAGUCCAAAACGAGUUUGCCAAAGCUCCAAAGAGCAAAGCUCUGCAGAGAGCCUUGAAUAUAUUACCUGGCUGUGAAGAGAACCUGGGUAAGGUCGACUCUGAUCUGAGAUAUGCUCUACUCUGGGUACGUUUCAGCAUUCCCUGCAAACCAACUUCAUAUUGAUGCCUUCAUGGAGGACAAGGAGCUGUGUUUUAUAGUCUCCAGAAUGGUUGUGGAAAGGUUGAUAGGUCACUGAACCCCAUCAGUGUUGUUCUCGGAUCCCAUUGUUGUUGGAUCAGAGUUAAUCAGCUACAGAGUGACCGUAAAUUGCCCCAGAAAUAAGGGAGGAUUCCUCCGCCAUGUUUGGAGAGCAGUGAAGCGACUCACCUGUGGCUGCUGCCGACAUGCUAGAGCUUGACCAAGCCAGGACUAAAAUACAUAGCCUAGACAAGUAGUCAUUGUUAUAUGAUCAUGUGCAAGCCCUACCUUUUCAAAAUCAGUUAUUUCAUUAUUAAAAUCGUUAUUGUAUUGAUAUGAAUAAAUUGCUUAUUCAUUAGA